GGUUAAAAAGCUCGUAGUUGGAUUUCUGUUGAGGAUGACCGGUCCGCUCUUUGAGCGCGUAUCUGGUUCAGCCUUGGCAUCCUCUUGGGGAACGCUACUGUGCUUGAUUGCAUGGGGCGGUAUUCAAGACUUUUACUUUGAGGAAAUUAGAGUGUUCACUGCAAGCGUUAGCAAUUGAAUACAUUAGCAUGGAAUAAUAAUAUAGGACCUUGGUACUAUUUUGUUGGUUUCUAGAACUAAGGUAAUGAUUAAUAGGGACAAUUGGGGGCAUUCGUAUUAACGCGUCAGAGGUGGAAUUCUUAGAUUGCGUUACGACGAACUACUGCGAAAGCAUUUGCCAAGGAUGUUUUCAUUGAUCAAGAACGAAAGUAUGGGGAUCGAAGACGCUUAGAUACCGUCGUAGUCUAUACCAUAAACUAUGCCAACUAGAGAUUGGAGGUCGUUCUCUUUAUGACUCCUUCAGCACCUUAUGAGAAAUCAAAGUCUUUGGGUUCCGGGGGGAGUAUGGUCGCAAGGCUGAAACUUAAAGGAAUUGACGGAAGGGCACCACCAGGAGUGGAGCCUGCGGCUUAAUUUGACUCAAUACGGGAAAACUUACCAGGUCCAGACAUAGUAAGGAUUGACAGAUUGAUAGCUCUUUCUUGAUUCUAUGGGUGGUGGUGCAU
rnacentral:rRNA from 1 species